ensembl:snRNA U6 U6 spliceosomal RNA
GUGCUCACUUCAGCAGCACCUAUACUAAAAUUGGAAUGAUACAGAGAAGACAAGAAUGGCCCCUGUGCAAGGAUGACAUGCAAAUGGGUGAAGUGUUCCAUAUUUUU